rnacentral:rRNA from 1 species
AAUGAACGUUGGCGGCGUGGAUUAGGCAUGCAAGUCGUGGGAAUCCAGCAAUGGGGAACCGGCGUAAGGGGCAGUAAUGCAUGGGUAUUUACCCUCGGGUCUGGCAUAGCUCUUCGAGAGAAGAGGUAAUUCCAGAUGAUGUCGUGAGACCAAAGGUCCGCCGCCCGGGGAGAAGCCCAUGUGAUAUUAGCUAGUUGGUGAGGUAACGGCUCACCAAGGCGAAGAUGUCUAGCGGGUGUGAGAGCACGACCCGCGCCACUGGCACUGAGAACUGGCCAGACACCUACGGGUGGCUGCAGUCGAGGAUCUUCGGCAAUGAGCGCAAGCUUGACCGAGCGACGCCGCGUGGGCGAUGAAGGCCUUCGGGUUGUAAAGCCCUGUCGAGGGGGAGAAAAGGGUAAAACUUUGAUCUAUCCCUGGAGGAAGCACGGGCGAAGUUCGUGCCAGCAGCCGCGGUAACAC